GAUGUUGUCAGAAAUAGCUGUCUGACUUUGAGGUACUGCAACAGCAGAGGGCACCAAUACUCCUUGGAAGCGCCAAAUAUUUAAAACCAAACCAACGAAGAAGAAGAUAGCGCCACUUCUAACGGUCCAGACCUGGUCCAGACACUCCUGCUCAGCAAGGGAGCUCAGCAGCACCCUGCACUGAACCAACAACCUUCUCUUUCAAUGGUGGUGAUCCAAAUCAGCGUGGAGCAGAAUGCACCAUAGAGAUGUACAACUCUCUUGUUGAGCACCUCAAGACUGAAGACUGCAAGGAAAGAACGCUAAUCUACACCGAGCAUCUGAAGAACAACAAACAAGUCCUCCAGCACAUUGAUCCAAAACCUGUUCCAGUUCCUCAGACACCGUCACAGACUGUUUUGAAAGCCCUCUACUAUCAAUCUGGAUAAAAAGAAACUUUGCCAA